rnacentral:rRNA from 1 species
GAUGAACGCUAGCGAUAGGCUUAACACAUGCAAGUCGAGGGACCGGCGGAUGGGUGAGUAACUCGUAUGCAACUUGCCUCUUAGUGGGGGAUAACCCGGAGAAAUCCGGACUAAUCCCGCAUACUAAUAGAUAGGCAUGCGUUCCAUUAGUUAGUUGGUGAGGUAACGGCUCACCAAGGCAUCGAGGGAUAAGGGAGCUGAGAGUCUGAUCCCCCAAAUUGGAACUGAGACACGGCUCAAACUACUACGGGAGGCAGAAGUGAGGAAUAUUGGGCAAUGGAGGAAACUCUGAACCAUCCAAGUCGCGUGAAGGAUGACGGUCUAUGGAUUGUAAACUUCUUUAGUAGGCGAGUAAGUAGCCUAAGAAUAAGUAUCGGCUAACUCCGUGCCAGCAGCCGCGGUAAUAC